GGGGAUUUAGCUCAGUGGUAGAGCACUUGCCUAGCAAGCACAAGGCCCUGGGUUCUUUGGUCCCCAGCUCCA
rnacentral:tRNA from 1 species